CUGCAGUGGAUUUACUGUGUCAGGGA
rnacentral:piRNA from 1 species